UACAGAGGGUGCGAGCGUUGUCCGGAAUCACUGGGCGUAAAGGGCGCGUAGGUGGCCCGACAAGUCCGUGGUGAAAGCUCGACGCUCAACGUCGAGUCGGCCAUGGAUACUGUGGGGCUGGAGCACUGUAGAGGCUCAUGGAAUUCCGGGUGUAGCGGUGGAAUGCGUAGAGAUCCGGAAGAACACCGGUGGCGAAGGCGGUGAGCUGGGCAGUAGCUGACACUGAGGCGCGACAGCGUGGGAGCAACAGG
rnacentral:rRNA from 1 species